rnacentral:rRNA from 1 species
AUCGAACGCUGGCGGCAUGCUUUACACAUGCAAGUCGAACGGUAACAGGCCUUCGGGUGCUGCCGAGUGGCGUACGGGUGAGUAAUGCAUCGGAACGUACCCAGUGGCGGGGGGUAACGCAGCGAAAGCUGUGCUAAUACCUCAGGUGAUCAGAGGAUGAGAGCUGGGGGCCGAGCAGCUAUGUUUGGCCUGGCGCCUUUGGAACGGCCGAUGUCGGAUUAGCUAGAUGGUGGGGUAAAGGCCUACCUAGGCGACGAUGCGUAGCUGGACUGAGAGGACGAUCAGCCGCAGUGCGGCGAGGACACGGCCCCGACUCCUACGUGAGGCAGCAGUGGGGAAUUUUCGGCAGUGAGCGCAAGGCAGUACUAGAAAUGCCGCGUGAGCGAAGAAGGCCAUCGCGUUGUAAACCGCUUUUGGCAGGAAGAAGCAGUGUCCGCUAAUCCCGGACGCUAAUGACGGUACCUGCAGAAUAAGCACCGGCUAACUACGUG